AAAAGUAUGUGUAAAAUGACAAAGAGCACUCUGAUUGGCGGGCUUGCAAUGUAACCAAUCAGAGUGCUCUUUGUCAUUUUACACAGCAUGGGAA